rnacentral:rRNA from 1 species
AGUGAACGCUGGCGGUAGGCCUAACACAUGCAAGUCGAACGGCAGCACAGGAGAGCUUGCUCUCUGGGUGGCGAGUGGCGGACGGGUGAGGAAUACAUCGGACUCUACUCUGUCGUGGGGGUCACGGAAGGGAAACUAACGCUAAUCCUGCCUCGGCCCUACGGGCGAAAGACGGGGACCUUCGGGCCUUGCCCGAUUAAAGUGGCCGAUGUCGGAUUAGCUAGUGGGCGGGGUAAAGGCCAACCAAGGCGACGAUCCGUAGCUGGUCUGAGAGGAUGAUCAGCCACACUGGAACUGAGACACGGUCCAGACUCCUACGGGAGGCAGUAGUGGGGAAUAUUGGACAAUGGGCGCAAGCCUGAUCCAGCCAUACCGCGUGGGUGAAGAAGGCCUUCGGGUUGUAAAGCCCUUUUGUUGGGAAAGAAAUCCAGCUGGCUAAUACCCGGUUGGGAUGACGGUACCCAAAGAAUAAGCACCGACUAACUUCGUGCCAGCAGCCGCCGUAA